CAGUAGCCGCGGUAAUACGGAGGGGGCUAGCGUUGUUCGGAAUUACUGGGCGUAAAGCGCACGUAGGCGGCUUGGUAAGUUAGAGGUGAAAGCCUGGAGCUCAACUCCAGAAUUGCCUUUAAGACUGCCGAGCUAGCAGGUGAGAGAGGUAAGUGGAAUUCCGAGUGUAGAGGUGAAAUUCGUAGAUAUUCGGAAGAACACCAGUGGCGAAGGCGGAUUACUGGCUCAUACUGGACGCUGAGGUGCGAAAGCGUGGGGAGCAAACAGGAUUAGAUACCCCAGUAGUCCCUGUCUCUUAUAC
rnacentral:rRNA from 1 species